rnacentral:rRNA from 1 species
AGUGAACGCUGACAGAAUGCUUAACACAUGCAAGUCUACUUGAUUCUACUUCGGUAGUUGAUGGUGGCGGACGGGUGAGUAACGCGUAAAGAAUCUGCCCUUUAGUUUGGGAUAACCUUUGGAAACGAAGGCUAAUACCGAAUAUUAUGGAGAUGUCACAUGACGACUUCAUGAAAGCUAUAUGCGCUAGAGGAGGACUUUGCGUCCCAUUAGUUAGUUGGUGAGGUAAUGGCUCACCAAGACCGCGAUGGGUAGCCGGCCUGAGAGGGUGAUCGGCCACAAGGGAACUGAGACACGGUCCUUACUCCUACGGGAGGCAGCAGUGGGGAAUAUUGGACAAUGGACCACAAGUCUGAUCCAGCAAUUCUGUGUGCACGAUGAAGGUCUUCGGAUUGUAAAGUGCUUUCAGUAGGGAAGAAAAAAAUGACGGUACCUACAGAAGAAGCGACGGCUAAAUAUGUGCCAGCAGCCGCCGUAA